rnacentral:rRNA from 1 species
AUGUUGCACGAGCUCAAAGAAGCCUUUCUCAAGAAGUGCGAAGAAGCUAAAGGCUCUCGUGAGCGCAUGAAGAGUCUGGCUGACAAGUGUGUGCAAGCCUACAAUGAGGCUGAGAAGCGCAAGGCUCUUGGUCGUCCUGGCAUUGACCCCAGAAUGGCUGCAACAAAGAAGAAGCCAUCAACUGACCAAUAUGCACCUUCAAGGCAGGAAGAACCUCGCAUAGUUUUCCCAAGCAGCAUGACUGGCUCGAAGCCAAAGGUCAAGUCAACUGCUUCAGAACUGAAGAAGACAAGGAUUGUCGAGGUUGAAGCCAGAAAAAGGAAAAAUCCUGAAACCUCUGAUGUUGCUCCCUCCAAGAAGAAGCACAAAACCAAGAAGAAUCGGGCUGCUCCCACAGAGCCCUUAGUUGUUGAACCUAUCUCAAUGGUUCGCCCUGCAUCUGAACACCAAGAACGACGGAUGAUAGUUCAUGAACCUGCUUCCACAGAGGCUCAUGAAGCUGAAGACAUUCCAGCAGUUGAUCCCACCGAUGCUGAAGACAUUGGUCACAAUGACAAUGUUGAAGAUGAUGUAGUUCUUCCUCAGAUCGAACACAACUUGGUAUCAUCGCCUGUUCUCACGAACAGCGAACUCAUCAGCAUUGGUCGUCCUCUGACGCCAAUUGCUCAGGAUGCAUCAUGGGCUGAUCACCCACAACAACAAGACUCCCCGAGUACUCCCCAACAACAACAAGUCACGCCACCUGUACAAUAA